UGGGGAGUGAUCUAACCAGGCAUGAUGCCGGCUUUUGGUGCCGUGCAAUCCCGGUUCAAAUCCGGGCUCCCCAG
rnacentral:tRNA from 1 species